rnacentral:rRNA from 1 species
CCUACGGGAGGCUGCAGUGAGGAAUAUUGGUCAAUGGCCGUAAGGCUGAACCAGCCAAGUAGCGUGAGGGAAGACUGCCCUAUGGGUUGUAAACCUCUUUUAUGCGGGGAUAAAGGUGUCCACGUGUGGCUGUUUGCAGGUACCGCAUGAAUAAGGACCGGCUAAUUCCGUGCCAGCAGCCGCGGUAAUACGGAAGGUCCGGGCGUUAUCCGGAUUUAUUGGGGUUAAAGGGAGCGUAGGCCGGUCUUUAAGCGUGCCGUGAAAUUUUGGGGGUCAACCAUGAGAGUGCGGCGCGAACUGGAGACCUUGAGUGCGCGGGAGGCAGGCGGAAUUCGUGGUGUAGCGGUGAAAUGCUUAGAUAUCACGAAGAACCCCGAUUGCGAAGGCAGCCUGCCGCAGCGUUACUGACGCUGAAGCUCGAAAGCGCGGGUAUCGAACAGGAUUAGAUACCCGAGUAGUC